GUCAGGAUGGCUGAGCAGUCUAAGGCGCUGCGUUCAGGUCGCAGUCUCCCCUGGAGGCGUGAGUUCGAAUCCCACUUCUGACA
rnacentral:tRNA from 1 species